AACGAACGCUGGCGGCGUGCCUAACACAUGCAAGUCGAACGGAAUUUGAGAGCUUGCUCUUAAAUUUAGUGGCGCACGGGUGAGUAACGCGUAGAUAAUCUGCCUGACGAUCUGGGAUAACACUUCGAAAGAGGUGCUAAUACCGGAUAAGCCCACGGAGUCUUUGGAUUCUGCGGGAAAAGGGGGGGACCUUCGGGCCUUCUGUCGUCAGAUGAGUCUGCGUACCAUUAGCUAGUUGGUAGGGUAAUGGCCUACCAAGGCGACGAUGGUUAGCUGGUCUGAGAGGAUGAGCAGCCACACUGGAACUGAGCCACGGUCCAGACUCCUACGGGAGGCAGCAGUGGGGAAUUUUGCGCAAUAGGAGAAAGCCUGACGCAGCAACGCCGCGUGAGUGAUGAAGGCUUUCGGGUCGUAAAGCUCUGUCGAGGGGAAAGAAGUGUACUUUGGCUAAUAUCCAUUGUACUUGACGGUACCCCUAAAGGAAGCACCGGCUAACUCCGUGCCAGCAGCCGCCGUAACAC
rnacentral:rRNA from 1 species